GAUGAACGCUGGCGGCGUGCCUAAUACAUGCAAGUCGAGCGAACAGAUGAGGAGCUUGCUCCUCUGACGUUAGCGGCGGACGGGUGAGUAACACGUGGAUAACCUACCUAUAAGACUGGGAUAACUUCGGGAAACCGGAGCUAAUACCGGAUAAUAUAUUGAACCGCAUGGUUCAAUAGUGAAAGACGGUUUUGCUGUCACUUAUAGAUGGAUCCGCGCCGCAUUAGCUAGUUGGUAAGGUAACGGCUUACCAAGGCAACGAUGCGUAGCCGACCUGAGAGCGUGAUCGGCCAGACUGGAACUGAGACACGGUCCAGACUCCUACGGGAGGCAGCAGUAGGGAAUCUUCCGCAAUGGGGGAAAGCCUGACGGAGCAACGCCGCGUGAGUGAUGAAGGUCUUCGGAUCGUAAAACUCUGUUAUUAGGGAAGAACAAAUGUGUAAGUAACUAUGCACGUCUUGACGGUACCUAAUCAGAAAGCCACGGCUAACUACGUG
rnacentral:rRNA from 1 species